ensembl:misc_RNA Metazoa_SRP Metazoan signal recognition particle RNA
GCUGGGCGUGUUGGCAUACACCUGUAGUCCCAGCUACUUGGGAGGCUGAGAUGGGAGGAUCGCUUGUGCCCGGGAGAUUGAGGUUGCAGUGAGCCACUGCACUACAGCAUGGGCAACAGAGUGAGACCCUGUCUCAC